rnacentral:rRNA from 1 species
GCGACCCCAGGUCAGGCGGGAUUACCCGCUGAU